GGGAGGAAAACUCCACUCCUUCUCACCCCCAGAUCUGAUGCACGUGGGGCUCGGGAGAGGAUCGUAAAUCGCUGCUCUUUGUGUGUGUGUGUGUGUGUGUGUGUGUAUGUUGUUGUUGUUGCUCCCAUUUUCCCUUUUUUUCCCUGUGGUUGCUAUGGGUUACCAGGGUGGUUGCCAUGGGUUACCGGACCAAGGCCGGCUGGCUUGCUACCUGACAAACAAGCCCCGGCAGCCAGAGCCUGCUGGAGGGGACUCCCAGGAACAGGCGAGGGAGGAGGGAGAGAGGAGAACGCGCGUGUGCGGGAUACAACGCGAACCGCAGAGCCAGAUCCCUGCACACAGUCAGUCUGGGUUUUGCAGCUGCGGGAAAACUACUUGCAAGUGGGGUGGGGAGGGGGGCAAAAAAAAAAGCUAUAAAGAAGGCCCUGAGGAAAAGCACUUUGCAAGAUCUGCCCAGCUAUACUCCUACAAGCUUCAAGAAAGGACUGAUAACAUUUAAUUAAAGCAACAAGUUAUCCCAGUUCUAUGGAAAUAUCUGCCCGCUAGUCUCCCAGACAAGCAGAGAUUGGGAAAAGAUAUUUUGUGCAAUUCAACAAAGUGAGUAAAAGAAACUUAGAUAAUUAUCUUAUGAAAGUGCAGUCGUCAACAGAAAAUGGUAGCUCAAAGUAGCCACCUAAGAGAUAUUAUCCAGUGGCCAUUAAAGGACACGUUUAUAAAAUUACACUAGUUCUCAGGUGUAAGCCUUUAAAGGAAGAAGAAAAAAAAUUCCACCCAAUUUUUAAUGAUGAUCAGACUGUAGUCUAAUUCUGAAAUUCAAAUGAAUGUUUUUUAAACUUUAUCAUGGUACUUUUCCAUAAAAGGCCCCAUUGAUGUUUGGUAGAAACUCUGUCUUUAAGUAGAUAAAUAUUAACUGAUCAUCUUCCAUGCAUUGAAAUAUUUCUAUUACCAAGAAAUAUGAUGUACUAGAGUAAAGAAACCUGAGUUAUACAACAUACCGUGCAAACUGCAUAAUAAAAAUUGAAUAUUAAUGUUCAAACAUGCUUUUUUCAAACAACCUCUGAGAAGAUAUAUUACUGAGACUGCUUGACUACAAGUAGGAAUAAAAUUAGUAAUCUUAUGUAAUUUAGUUUGUUUUGAAGUCACCAGUUUUUUAAUACAUGCCUGAAGUAGUAAGUUGUAUAUUCUGUCUCUGAUAAAUAGCAUUUUAGGAAGGUUAGCUAUCUUUAAUUUAAAACAUUUCAACCUAAAACACCUUGUGUAUUACAAAAAUGUUUACCCCAUGCAGAAGUGGAAGUCACAAAACAUAAGCAGCAUUUGUUUUUUUCCACAGUUCUCAUCUGGUUUACAUUUAACACUCUUUGAAACAGUGCCUAUCUUAUAGCCUCCAAAAUCAUGUCGCAGACUUCAAAUGUGUUCUGAAUGAAACGCCCAUGUUACAGCAAUGAAGAUAUUUUGCCUUAGUUUUUAAGUGCACGUAUACGCCAGUUGUUUUAAGUAAUUGCAACGGGAUUUUGUAUCUUAAAAACAAAUGUAAUGGAAGAGUAUUGAAAGAGUCUCUAACAACCACUAUGUCCUGUUAUGUUUUUCAGUUAAAUAUACCUUAACAACAUUAUACAAAAUCAAAGUAAUAAAUCUGAAUACCACUGAUAAAUCUUAAAAAUCAAACAGUUUUGAAACUAAUGACAAAAAAAGGUUAUUUCACAAGGAGCUUUGAUAAGUACCUAUUGUUAGCAAACCCCCUUCUUUAGAACAUGGACAUAAUUUGCUAUUCCUAAAAUAGUAACAUAAAAUGUAUUUUUCAGGAUUCUUGGGGAGCCGUGCUUAUUUCACAUCCAUGUGAAAUGCUGUCAUCACUACUGUGUCCAAGCCCGGAGGAUGAACUGCAGAGGAGAGAAGGGGGGAAAAAAAAUAAAAAGAGGAAAUUGGUUUUCACAACACACUCAAAGCCUGAGUAACAGAGGAGAACUUUAAUUAUCUCCAGUCACAAAGAGAGACAGGAAAUUUGGACUUUUAAUUAGCCAUUUGGAGUGCAGUUGGAUAUUUUUUUAGCUAGAUAAUUUAAACGCGAAUAAUUCAAGUCUGACUAAAUGAAAUUCACAUAAUCAGAAUGCAGAUAAUUGAAUUUCUACUGCAUUCAUUAAUUCAGUGUGGAGGUGUGUGUGAAGACUUCUAUGAUGAGCUGUCACAGCUCAAUAAAAUCUCAGUCAAUUAAUUUUUUCAUUAUCUUAGUAUUACAUCAACAAAAAAGUGAAGUGUGUAUAUAUAUCUAUACACACGUGUGCAACAUUUAUAAAAUCUUAAAUAUAAACAUGUAUACACAGGCACUCAUACAAAUAUACAUAUAUAUAUAUAUGAAAACAGAAUACAAGGAAAUACCUUUCUGAGUCAGAAUCUAGAUAAUUCUUUUCCUUUUUUCUCUCUCCAUCUUCUUCGGGGAAGCGUCUGUUCGAAGAGGCAAACUUCUGAAUGGCUUCAGCAACAGAGUACCUUGUCUGUCCAGAUACACAUGCUUCAAUAUCUUCGGAACUUAGGUGACUCUGUAAGAAGAGGUGAAGCCUGCUGUCCGAAAGCAAUAAUGCAUUUUGUAGUAUCCUGUAAAAGAAAUAAGGUCGGAGGGCAAGAGUGAAGAGGCCGGGUGUUGGGGGGAGAGAGAACAUUAAAAAAAAAUUAAACAACAA